UUUUAUAUAAUUUAAGUUAAAAUAUUAUAUUUUCAUUAUAAAAAUAAUAAAAUUAUUUAUAAAAU
rnacentral:tRNA from 1 species